rfam:Oryza barthii chromosome 3, whole genome shotgun sequence.
AAGAAGUGUAGUUUUAGUACUAUUCAUGUUCAACGUUUGAUCGUUCGUUUUAUUUGAAAAAAGAUUAUGAUUAGUAUUUUUAUUGUUAUUAGAUGAUAAAACAUGAAUAGUACUUUAUGUGUGACUAAUUUUUUUAAUAUUUUUCAUAUUUUUUUCAAAUAAGACGGAUGGUCAAAAGCGCUAAACACAGAUAUUUAUAGCUGCACUUAUU